rnacentral:rRNA from 1 species
CCGCACCUCAAGUGGUCAGGAUGAUUAUUGGGCCUAAAGCAUCCGUAGCCGGCUCUGUAAGUUUUCGGUUAAAUCUGUAUGCUCAACAUACAGGCUGCCGGGAAUACUGCAGAGCUAGGGAGUGGGAGAGGUAGACGGUACUCGGUAGGAAGGGGUAAAAUCCUUUGAUCUAUUGAUGACCACCUGUGGCGAAGGCGGUCUACCAGAACACGUCCGACGGUGAGGGAUGAAAGCUGGGGGAGCAAACCGGAUUAGAUACCCGAGUAGUCC